CCUACGGGAGGCUGCAGUGGGGAAUAUUGGACAAUGGGCGAAAGCCUGAUCCAGCCAUGCCGCGUGUGUGAAGAAGGCCUUCGGGUUGUAAAGCACUUUCAGUGGGGAAGAAAGCCUUGGGGCUAAUACCCUCGAGGAAGGACAUCACCCACAGAAGAAGCACCGGCUAACUCCGUGCCAGCAGCCGCGGUAAUACGGAGGGUGCGAGCGUUAAUCGGAAUUACUGGGCGUAAAGCGCGCGUAGGCGGUCUGAUAAGCCGGUUGUGAAAGCCCCGGGCUCAACCUGGGAACGGCAUCCGGAACUGUCAGGCUAGAGUGCAGGAGAGGAAGGUAGAAUUCCCGGUGUAGCGGUGAAAUGCGUAGAGAUCGGGAGGAAUACCAGUGGUGAAGGCGGCCUUCUGGACUGACACUGACGCUGAGGUGCGAAAGCGUGGGUAGCAAACAGGAUUAGAUACCCGGGUAGUC
rnacentral:rRNA from 1 species